rfam:Sorangium cellulosum So0157-2, complete genome.
GCGAAGGUGGCGGAAUUGGCAGACGCACUAGCUUGAGGUGCUAGCGGGUAACACCGUGGGGGUUCAAGUCCCCCCCUUCGCA